rnacentral:rRNA from 1 species
UUGCACGCUGGCGGCAUGCCUUACACAUGCAAGUCGAACGGUAACAGGUCUUCGGAUGCUGACGAGUGGCGAACGGGUGAGUAAUACAUCGGAACGUGCCCAGACGUGGGGGAUAACGAGGCGAAAGCUUUGCUAAUACCGCAUACGAUCUAAGGAUGAAAGCAGGGGACCGCAAGGCCUUGCGCGUUUGGAGCGGCCGAUGGCAGAUUAGGUAGUUGGUGGGAUAAAAGCUUACCAAGCCGACGAUCUGUAGCUGGUCUGAGAGGACGACCAGCCACACUGGGACUGAGACACGGCCCAGACUCCUACGGGAGGCAGCAGUGGGGAAUUUUGGACAAUGGGCGAAAGCCUGAUCCAGCAAUGCCGCGUGCAGGAUGAAGGCCUUCGGGUUGUAAACUGCUUUUGUACGGAACGAAAAGGCUCUGGCUAAUACCUGGGGCACAUGACGGUACCGUAAGAAUAAGCACCGGCUAACUACGUG